ACCGGGUGUGGUUGCAUACGCCUGUAAUCCCAGUGACUUGGGAGGCUGAGGCAGGAGGAUCACAAGUUCAAAGCAAGCCUCAGCAACUUAGUGAGGCACUUAGCAACUCAGUGAGACCCUGUCUCUA
rnacentral:sRNA from 1 species